AUGAAAUCAACAUCUUGAGCAUGUAACUUAUAUGAUGUUGUAUUUCAAUUAUAUCUAAGUUAAGCUGAAAAAAUAUCAACAAUGGAAGCAACUUAAUAGUUAGAGAAGACUAAAGAAACAUGACAUGGAAACUCCCUGGUUGGACAGAGAAAAGGUUUUAAAAAUGGAGGAAUUUGAAUAUAGUGCAUAUCAUAGGUUUGAAUUCUAAAAAUAGAAGGUUGGUGAAAGUAAAAUGAGAAGAUUUGGACUAAAAGAAACAAAUGGUUUUAGAGUUGUCCAGAGUGACUUGAGAGAAAAUAUAAAGGAUACAAAUGAAAAGCCAAAUGAAGAGCUAUAUCUAGCAAGACCUAGAAGAGUCCCAAGUGAACACAGGAGCUUCUGUUCCAGAGGAGAUUGGGGAAGAGCUGCAAUUUCCCCCAUCAAAAUUGCUCAGUCUUAGCAAAACAACCCUGGAGACUUCCAGUCUAACAAUGUCAGUAUUCCAAAAGUAGUUUCAUGUGCCUUAUUUUUGUGAGUCGAACCAUCUUCCUCCUUUUAUUAAACU
ensembl:lincRNA uncharacterized LOC101677350